rnacentral:rRNA from 1 species
GAUGAACGCUGGCGGCGUGCCUAAUACAUGCAAGUCGAGCGAAUGGAUUAAGAGCUUGCUCUUAUGAAGUUAGCGGCGGACGGGUGAGUAACUCGUGGGUAACUUGCCCAUAAGACUGGGAUAACUCCGGGAAACCGGGGCUAAUACCGGAUAACAUUUUGAACCGCAUGGUUCGAAAUUGAAAGGCGGCUUCGGCUGUCACUUAUGGAUGGACCCGGGUCGCAUUAGCUAGUUGGUGAGGUAACGGCUCACCAAGGCAACGAUGCGUAGCCGACCUGAGAGGGUGAUCGGCCACACUGGGACUGAGACACGGCCCAGACUCCUACGGGAGGCAGCAGUAGGGAAUCUUCCGCAAUGGACGAAAGUCUGACGGAGCAACGCCGCGUGAGUGAUGAAGGCUUUCGGGUCGUAAAACUCUGUUGUUAGGGAAGAACAAGUGCUAGUUGAAUAAGCUGGCACCUUGACGGUACCUAACCAGAAAGCCACGGCUAACUACGUGCCAGCAGCCGCAGUAA